AGUCGAGCGGUAGCACAGGGGAGCUUGCUCCCCGGGUGACGAGCGGCGGACGGGUGAGUAAUGUCUGGGAAACUGCCUGAUGGAGGGGGAUAACUACUGGAAACGGUAGCUAAUACCGCAUAACGUCGCAAGACCAAAGAGGGGGACCUUCGGGCCUCUUGCCAUCAGAUGUGCCCAGAUGGGAUUAGCUAGUAGGUGGGGUAAUGGCUCACCUAGGCGACGAUCCCUAGCUGGUCUGAGAGGAUGACCAGCCACACUGGAACUGAGACACGGUCCAGACUCCUACGGGAGGCAGCAGUGGGGAAUAUUGCACAAUGGGCGCAAGCCUGAUGCAGCCAUGCCGCGUGUGUGAAGAAGGCCUUCGGGUUGUAAAGCACUUUCAGCGAGGAGGAAGGUGGUGAACUUAAUACGUUCAUCAAUUGACGUUACUCGCAGAAGAAGCACCGGCUAACUCCGUGCCAGCAGCCGCGGUAAUACGGAGGGUGCAAGCGUUAAUCGGAAUUACUGGGCGUAAAGCGCACGCAGGCGGUUUGUUAAGUCAGAUGUGAAAUCCCCGGGCUCAACCUGGGAACUGCAUUUGAAACUGGCAAGCUAGAGUCUCGUAGAGGGGGGUAGAAUUCCUAGGUGUAGCGNGUGAAAUGCGUAGAGAUCUGGAGGAAUACCGGUGGCGAAGGCGGCCCCCUGGACGAAGACUGACGCUCAGGUGCGAAAGCG
rnacentral:rRNA from 1 species